AGAGUGAACGCUGGCGGUAGGCCUAACACAUGCAAGUCGAACGGCAGCACAGUGGUAGCAAUACCAUGGGUGGCGAGUGGCGGACGGGUGAGGAAUACAUCGGAAUCUACCUUUUCGUGGGGGAUAACGUAGGGAAACUUACGCUAAUACCGCAUACGCCCUUCGGGGGAAAGCCGGGGAUCGCAAGACCUGGCGCGGAUAGAUGAGCCGAUGUCGGAUUAGCUAGUUGGUGAGGUAAUGGCUCACCAAGGCGACGAUCCGUAGCUGGUCUGGGAGGAUGAUCAGCCACACUGGAACUGAGACACGGUCCAGACUCCU
rnacentral:rRNA from 1 species